CCCUUAGAUGUUCUGGGCCGCACGCGCGCUACAAUGAUGAAUUCAACGAGUUUAUAACCUUGGUUGAAAAGCCUGGGUAAUCUUUUGAACUUUCGUCGUGAUGGGGCUAGACCCUUGCAAUUAUUGGUCUCCAACGAGGAAUUCCUAGUAAACGCAAGUCAUCAGCUUGCAUUGAUUACGUCCCUGCCCUUUGUACACACCGCCCGUCGCACCUACCGAUUGAAUGGUCCGGUGAAAUCUUCGGAUUGAGACUCUGUUUUCUUCACGGAAAACGCUGUUUUAAAAAGUUGAUUAAACCUUACCAUUUAGAGGAAGGUGAAGUCGUAACA
rnacentral:rRNA from 1 species